rnacentral:sRNA from 1 species
GCUGGGCUUGGUGGCUCACGCCUGUCAUCCCAGCAGCUGGGAGGCUGAGGCAGGAGGAUCGAAAGUUCAAAGCCAGCAUCAGCAACAGCGAGGCGCUAAGCAAUUCAGUGAGACCCUGUCUCUA